CAGUAGCCGCGGUAAUACGAAGGGGGCUAGCGUUGUUCGGAAUUACUGGGCGUAAAGGGCGCGUAGGCGGCCAUUCAAGUUAGAUGUGAAAGCCCUGGGCUUAACCUAGGAAUUGCAUUUGAUACUAUUUGGCUUGAGUUCGGGAGAGGUGAGUGGAAUUCCCAGUGUAGAGGUGAAAUUCGUAGAUAUUGGGAAGAACACCAGUGGCGAAGGCGGCACACUGGACCGACACUGACGCUGAGGCGCGAAAGCGUGGGGAGCAAACAGGAUUAGAUACCCCGGUAGUCCCUGUCUCUUAUAC
rnacentral:rRNA from 1 species